rnacentral:hammerhead_ribozyme from 1 species
AUCCAGGUGACGAGUCCCGAAUAGGACGAAAUGCGCACCCUGGAU